GGUUGCGAUCAUACCAGCACUAAUGCACCGGAUCCCAUCAGAACUCCGCAGUUAAGCGUGCUUGGGCGAGAGUAGUACUAGGAUGGGUGACCCCCUGGGAAGUCCUCGUGUUGCAACCCCC
rnacentral:rRNA from 1 species